UACGUAGGGGGCAAGCGUUGUCCGGAAUCAUUGGGCGUAAAGCGCGCGUAGGCGGCCCGAUAAGUCUGCUGUGAAAGUCCAGGGCUCAACCCUGGAAUGCCGGUGGAUACUGUCGGGCUAGAGUCCGGAAGGGGCGAGUGGAAUUCCUGGUGUAGCGGUGAAAUGCGCAGAUAUCAGGAGGAACACCAAUGGCGAAGGCAGCUCGCUGGGACGUGACUGACGCUGAGACGCGAAAGCGUGGGGAGCAAACAGG
rnacentral:rRNA from 1 species